rnacentral:rRNA from 1 species
AUUGAACGCUGGCGGCAUGCUUUACACAUGCAAGUCGAACGGUAACAGGCCUUCGGGUGCUGACGAGUGGCGAACGGUUGAGUAAUGCAUCGGAACGUGCCCAGAGGUGGGGGAUAACGCAGCGAAAGCUGUGCUAAUACCGCAUGUGAUCUGAGGAUGAAAGCGGGGGACCAGGCAGCAAUGUUUGGCCUCGCGCCUUUGGAGCGGCCGAUGUCAGAUUAGGUAGUUGGUGGGGUAAAGGCCUACCAAGCCGACGAUCUGUAGCUGGUCUGAGAGGACGACCAGCCACACUGGGACUGAGACACGGCCCAGACUCCUACGGGAGGCAGCAGUGGGGAAUUUUGGACAAUGGGCGCAAGCCUGAUCCAGCAAUGCCGCGUGCGGGAAGAAGGCCUUCGGGUUGUAAACCGCUUUUGUACGGAACGAAAAGGCUCUGGCUAAUACCUGGGGCUGAUGACGGUACCGGAAGAAUAAGCACCGGCUAACUACGUG